GCCCCUGUAGCGCAACGAAUAGCGCAUUGGAUUUUUAACCCAAAGGGCGUGGGUGUUCGAAUCCCACCUGGGAUG